rnacentral:misc_RNA from 1 species
UCUUGAGAUCUUUGGGCAAAUAAUUCGUCUAUAUUCAUAAGAAAUUAUGUACUGGAUUAUGUUUUGAUAUCUUUGAUAUUGUUGAUUUAUAAUUUUACUUUAAACUAGUCUAUUGAUAUGUAACUAAAAUUUUAGUUAUUGUUCAUAACUCAAUAAAAUGAGUCCUCAGUUGGCAUGCAUCUAGAAAAAAAAAUUAUACAUUUGUUCAUCCGUGCAUAGUUAGUUUUGCUGAUAAGCUUAAUGCUCUAAUUCAUUUUGAGUAGGAUUAGUCUAUUUCCUGAACUUUUAAAAAUGUCAGACAGUUAAUAUUUUUUGAAGUGCCCUGACUUUUCCUAUUUUGUACUAUAUUUUUAUUUUUUUUUUCUAUUGCUAUUAUGUUUGGCCGGAGAGGAACGUUAGGAGUAUUAAGAACCAAAAUUCUGAUUUGAAGUUUUUGCAAGAAACUUAUCUUUUUCUUGGGCUUCUUUACAAAUUUCUUUGACUUGGGCUUGCAAAAGGAGGUGUCUGGUUGACAUCCAAUGUGAUUAGAAAGCAUUUUAUUUUUUUUCUUUUGGUUUCAUUUGUUUUUUAUUUGUAUGCUCUUUCUCAUUUAUCCUUCUCCGUUAAUAAUCCUCUUUUCUACAAAAGAAGUUGUUUUUCUUGAGAUGCAAGCCAGCUAUACCUUUUAGAUGUUAGAUGCCCUGAUAGCCUUUUAUGUUGUGGGAAUUGUUGCCAAUUCUAGCGCUAAUCAUCUGAGGCUUGCUCCCUGCCUCAUGCAAUCUCUUCACUGUUGGCAUGCCAUAUAUUAAAGCAUGAUUCAGUAUUUGGCAAAUGAUUCUAACUGGAUGUUUGUUCUUUGUAUUUGAAGUUUAGAUUCAAAAAUUUAUUUGCCAAAAAUGAAAAGAAGCUUUAGCGAAGAACAUUGAUAAUUCUUAGAUUUCUUUAGUGUUGAUUCGUAGUUGGUAAUUCCAACCUUCUUUUUUAUGAUAACUUCUUGUUGAUGUUAGGGUUCCAGUUUUAUCUCAUGAUUUUCCUUUAGGCCCACAUCCUUGAUAAGUUCUUUUUGUUCUUGGGGUUUUCAAUUUUAGAGUGCAUCUGCUCUUUUUAGUUUAUGCGCAGGAUGAAGUACUGACACAAGAUAGAAAUCAAUAUGCAAUGUCCAAUUUACAUGAUCCUAAGAAGGCAAGCUCAAUUGUCCUCGGAUAGGGGCUAUUCAAUAGUCAAGCUUAAGAGGCUUGAGUUUGGCUUGUAAAUUAAUCAAUGGAUUCAAGCAUGCAAGCUGGGUUUAGCCUGAGUAAAUUUGGAUCUAGUUCUUUUCUAUUCUUAUUUUAUAGAGCUAAUAAAGAUGAAUGUAAUAAAUGCAAUUUGCAGUUUUCUAAUUGUUGGCGGCAUAUUACUAGUUUGUGGGAGCUACUGCUGAGCUAGGAGGUGGUACUGUGGAAACUGUGGAAUUUUUGUAGAUUAAGCUUUGCUUAUAUAAGCUGUUAACCUCUUUAUUUGUGGCAUGGAUUUUUGUUUCUUUAUCAUGAGUGCUUCGCAUGAAGCUUCUUUUUACUCCUGCAACUUUCAUGUUCUUAAAUAUUUAAGGACGUCAUGUUUAAUGUAUAAUUGAAUUGAACUGAAGCAGUGAUUAGGACUAUGAUGAAAAAUAGUUUUUGUUAACUAUCCUGAAUAAUAAUUUUUGUUAUAGCAUUUAUUAUGAGUACCGUAACUGAUGAUCUAUGCGUAGCAGAGUGCGCAACCUGAUCAUCAAGCUGUGUCUUUCUCAUCUUUAUAUUCAUAUAUAUGUGGUAUGUGUUUCUUUAAACAUCGGAUUAGCUUUAUCUGUGUCUUUCUCAUCUUUAUAUUCAUAUAUAUGUGGUAUGUGUUUCUUUAAACAUCGGAUUAGCUUUAU